rnacentral:miRNA from 1 species
CCAUGGAUCCCUACCAUGUGG